GACGAACGCUGGCGGCGUGCUUAACACAUGCAAGUCGAACGGAAAGGCCUUUUCGGAGGUACUCGAGUGGCGAACGGGUGAGUAACACGUGGGGGAUCUGCCCUGCACUCUGGGAUAAGCCUGGGAAACUGGGUCUAAUACCGGAUAGGACCGCACUUUAGUGUGUGUGGUGGAAAGUUUUUUCGGUGUAGGAUGAGCCCGCGGCCUAUCAGCUUGUUGGUGGGGUAAUGGCCUACCAAGGCGGCGACGGGUAGCCGGACUGAGAGGUUGGUCGGCCACAUUGGGACUGAGAUACGGCCCAGACUCCUACGGGAGGCAGCAGUGGGGAAUAUUGCACAAUGGGCGCAAGCCUGAUGCAGCGACGCCGCGUGGGGGAUGACGGCCUUCGGGUUGUAAACUCCUUUCGCCAGGGACGAAGCGUUUUGUGACGGUACCUGGAGAAGAAGCACCGGCUAACUACGUG
rnacentral:rRNA from 1 species